rnacentral:rRNA from 1 species
CCUACGGGAGGCAGCAGUGGGGAAUAUUGCACAAUGGGCGCAAGCCUGAUGCAGCGACGCCGCGUGAGGGAUGACGGCCUUCGGGUUGUAAACCUCUUUCAGUAGGGAAGAAGCGAAAGUGACGGUACCUGCAGAAGAAGCGCCGGCUAACUACGUGCCAGCAGCCGCGGUAAUACGUAGGGCGCAAGCGUUAUCCGGAAUUAUUGGGCGUAAAGAGCUCGUAGGCGGUUUGUCGCGUCUGCUGUGAAAGACCGGGGCUCAACUCCGGUUCUGCAGUGGGUACGGGCAGACUAGAGUGCAGUAGGGGAGACUGGAAUUCCUGGUGUAGCGGUGAAAUGCGCAGAUAUCAGGAGGAACACCGAUGGCGAAGGCAGGUCUCUGGGCUGUAACUGACGCUGAGGAGCGAAAGCAUGGGGAGCGAACAGGAUUAGAUACCCUGGUAGUCCAUGCCGUAACGUUACGGGUCGACUAGGUAGGUGGGGUACGGAUUCCUACCGUUUCCGUCCGCCGUACGCGUACGCACUAAGUGCCCGCCCGUCGGGGAGGUACGGCCGGCCGAACGGACGUAAACCGUUAAAACGUUAAGUAAGUUAGUUACGGCGUUGAGGACGUGCCGACGGACGACCGACCGAGGGGAGGUUAGG